AGAGCGAACGCUGGCGGCAGGCCUAACACAUGCAAGUCGAGCGCCCGUAGCAAUACGGGAGCGGCAGACGGGAUAGUAACACGUGGGAACGCGCCCUUCGGUUCGGAAUAACUCAGGGAAACUUGAGCUAAUACCGGAUACGCCCUUACGGGGAAAGAUUUAUUGCCGAAGGAACGGCCCGCGUCCGAUUAGCUAGUUGGUGAGGUAAUGGCUCACCAAGGCGACGAUCGGUAGCUGGUCUGAGAGGAUGACCAGCAUCACUGGGACUGAGACACGGCCCAGACUCCUACGGGAGGCAGCAGUGGGGAAUAUUGGACAAUGGGCGCAAGCCUGAUCCAGCCAUGCCGCGCGGAUGAUGAAGGCCUUAGGGUUGUAAAGUCCUUUUAACGGGGAAGAUAAUGACGGUACCCGUAGAAUAAGCCCCGGCUAACUUCGUGCCAGCAGCCGC
rnacentral:rRNA from 1 species